GCCAACGGUCACAUCACGUUAAAAAUAUCAGUUCUCAUCCGAUCGCUGCAAUUAAACAACUAACGUUGAGCAUGAUUAGUACUCAGGUGGAUAACUGCUUAGGAAUAACUUGUACUAUUGCCA
rnacentral:rRNA from 1 species